UACGUAGGUGGCAAGCGUUGUCCGGAUUUACUGGGCGUAAAGAGCGCGCAGGCGGCCGAGUAAGUCGAAUGUGAAAGCCCCCGGCUCAACUGGGGAAGGUCAUUCGAUACUGUUCGGCUUGAAAAUAGGAGAGGGAAGCGGAAUUUCAGGUGUAGUGGUGAAAUGCGUAGAUAUCUGAAGGAACACCAGUGGCGAAGGCGGCUUUCUGGCCUAUUCUUGACGCUGAGGCGCGAAAGCUAGGGGAGCGAACGGG
rnacentral:rRNA from 1 species